rnacentral:rRNA from 2 species
UACGGAGGGGGCGAGCGUUGUUCGGAAUUACUGGGCGUAAAGGGCGCGUAGGCGGUGACGUUAGUCGGGCGUGAAAGCCCCGGGCUCAACCUGGGAUGUGCGUUCGAUACUGCGUUGCUUGAGAGCGGAAGAGGGUAGUGGAAUUCCCAGUGUAGAGGUGAAAUUCGUAGAUAUUGGGAAGAACACCAGUGGCGAAGGCGGCUACCUGGUCCGUUUCUGACGCUGAGGCGCGAAAGCGUGGGGAGCAAACAGG